GCCCUUUUUCUGUUGCACUACUGGACAUUGAGAUGAGCAGUGCAAUAUUAAAAGGGCAU
rnacentral:pre_miRNA from 1 species